AUUGAACGCUGGCGGCAGGCCUAACACAUGCAAGUCGAACGGUAACAGGAAGCAGCUUGCUGCUUCGCUGACGAGUGGCGGACGGGUGAGUAAUGUCUGGGAAGCUGCCUGAUGGAGGGGGAUAACUACUGGAAACGGUAGCUAAUACCGCAUAAUGUCGCAAGCCCAAAGAGGGGGACCUUCGGGCCUCUUGCCAUCGGAUGUGCCCAGAUGGGAUUAGCUUGUUGGUGGGGUAACGGCUCACCAAGGCGACGAUCCCUAGCUGGUCUGAGAGGAUGACCAGCCACACUGGAACUGAGACACGGUCCAGACUCCUACGGGAGGCAGCAGUGGGGAAUAUUGCACAAUGGGCGCAAGCCUGAUGCAGCCAUGCCGCGUGUAUGAAGAAGGCCUUCGGGUUGUAAAGUACUUUCAGCGGGGAGGAAGGGAGUAAAGUUAAUACCUUUGCUGAUUGACGUUACCCGCAGAAGAAGCACCGGCUAACUCCGUG
rnacentral:rRNA from 1 species